rnacentral:rRNA from 1 species
AUUGAACGCUGGCGGCAGGCCUAACACAUGCAAGUCGAACGAGUGGCGGACGGGUGAGUAAUGUCUGGGAAACUGCCCGAUGGUGGGGGAUAACUACUGGAAACGGUAGCUAAUACCGCAUACCAUCGGAUCGGCCCAGAUGGGAUUAGCUGGUAGGUGGGGUAACGGCUCACCUAGGCGACGAUCCCUAGCUGGUCUGAGAGGAUGACCAGCCAAACUGGAACUGAGACACGGUCCAGACUCCUACGGGAGGCAGCAGUGGGGAAUAUUGAACAAUGGGCGCAAGCCUGAUGCAGCCAUGCCGCGUGUAUGAAGAAGGCCUUCGGGUUGUAAAGGACUUUCGUCAGGGAGGCGGUACUCGCAGAAGAAGCAUCGGCUAACUCCGUGCCAGCCGCCGCGGUAAUUC